rnacentral:misc_RNA from 1 species
CUGUUGAGCCGCUGACUUGUCGUCUCGCCACCGCAGACCCCCGGCCUCACUCAGCCAAAGAACUGAAAAGAAAAAAGAGAGAGCACAGAUAUCAACGGCUUGCUUACGUCCACGCCCACACGUCUCUACUCGAGCCUCUUCCUCUCAUUGCCUUGUGUCACAAGCGCACAGCAACCAACUGCACGAAACAUCUUCUUGAAGAGCCAUGUCUGCCAUCAGAACUCUAAUCGCUGCUGUCGCGUUGGCGGCUAUAUUCUUCGUCAGCCCCGCCGCGGCCGCCCCUGGAGACCUGGUGGAGAACGUAAAUAAUCAGACGUGCAGCAAGGGCUGCGUGGCGGGUCUUCUGGUAAUGGCUGCUAUCAUCAGUGUCGUCUUUGCGUCUUUGAUGUGCUUCAUCUUCUGGCCCGCUGCGGAGCUGACGAGCCGCCAGGAGGGGCGCGCCAUCGCCCGCAAGCGCAUUCGCGAUCGCAGGGUUGCUGAGGAAGAGUCUCGCGCCAAGAAUGAGGUGCUCGAUGGUCGCGACGUGUGAGUAAGCCUCCCUCACCCGAAACCACCGCUAUCACGCGCUCCUCUUUUGUAUUGAUUGCUUGUUCAGAAUAGCACAAGGGUAGAAGGGACGGUAUCUGCUACGCUUCCCCUUACACUAUCUUCUAUGCUGGUACACACACGUGUGGGUGUUCGGCUGAUGCGACCUCCACCACCUCUGCUCUCUCAUCGCCUCUUCCUUUCGCCUCACCUCAUGUGCAG